ensembl:lncRNA
ACUCCUUUAACCUGUGACCAGAGGGUAGGGUGCCAGCCAAAGGAAGAAGUAGAGCAGAGCCCCUCAGGUCAAGGACAGUGUGCAGGAGCCCCAAGGCAGGAGAAACCUUGGCCUAUGGGAAGAACAAAUAUGGCUGGUGCAUAGUGAAGAGAGAAAGUAAAAGGGAAGAUGGAGUGAAGGGGUGGGGGUGGGGGGACCAAAGACCCAGAUAGUGAGAAGCUAUGUGGUUCAUGAUGGACCAUUUGGAUUUUUGAGUGAGAUGGGAAGACACUGGAGGGUUUUAAGCAGGGGAGCAAUAUGAUCUGAUUCAUGGCUGAUGGAAAAGAAUGGAAACUGGGAGUAAAGGAACACUUGCAGGAACCUCAAGAGACCACGUGAAAACCCAAAAGAGAAAGAUGCUUGCUGAACGCACAAAGGCCUUGGUUCUUUCUGACAUUCUACUUUGUGAGCCUCUUCAGCUAUUGUUCUCAUUCAGCCAAGAAAACAGGUCUGCUCCAAGAAGGCACAGGAGCUACCAAGUGGAAGCUUCUGGCAUGAAGGUGACAAAAGGACAUACACCUCACAUAACAAGCACAUCUCAAGACUCUGCUCAUCUGUGAUCUGCUCACAUUCCAUUGGUCAGUGCUCACCCCAUGGCCAAGCUCAAUAUACAUCUAUAGAGCUGGAAAACAUAUUCUGUCUUUAGCAGAAGAAGGAAGAGAGGAAACGUUUGCUGAAUAAUAACUGAAACUAAAAUGAUCCGCCCUGUUGCUUCCUUUGCACAUUCUAAAUGGACCCAUUCUUUUGCUAAGACAUGUCAAAAACCUCCCCUAAUCAUAAUGUGAGGCUGAAAUUCCAAGAUCUCAUGACUACAACAUGUCCACAUGUCCCCUCUCCCUCUAGAGACCAAGUAUUACAAAAGGUCCACAGAAAUUUGAAAUGCUACUGAAUAAAUAAUGCCAACCCUUCUACCCUGUGAGAAGGGACCUAUCUUUUGAUUUGGCCCUGGGUUUGUUCCCUGGGAAUCUCUCUCCAUUCACCAUUUUUUAUGACUCUUUGAUCCACACUGGGGAAGG